rnacentral:rRNA from 1 species
AACGAACGCUGGCGGCAGGCUUAACACAUGCAAGUCGAACGCCCUCUUCGGAGGGAGUGGCAGACGGGUGAGUAACGCGUGGGAACCUACCUAGUAGUACGGAACAACUCAGGGAAACUUGAGCUAAUACCGUAUACGCCCUUCGGGGGAAAGAUUUAUCGCUAUUAGAUGGGCCCGCGUCGGAUUAGCUUGUUGGUAAGGUAAUGGCUUACCAAGGCGACGAUCCGUAGCUGGUCUGAGAGGAUGAUCAGCCACACUGGGACUGAGACACGGCCCAG